AAAUGUUGUUUUCUAAGUAACUAUUGGUAGUACUCCGAGAACAUGUGGAUUGUCCGAAAUGAAUUCAAUUUUGCUAUCUUUUAUAUCCAUCCAUAAGAAUCAUAUUUCCUAUGUAAUAAACACAUUGAUGUCAUUAAUUUUGUAAUUACAAAAAUGGAAAAGGGGUGGGAGACAGAGGAAUUAGGUUGAUUAAAAUAGGAGGAUGUGAGGGAGGGAAGAAUUUGAAGAAGCAACAAAGAAAGGUUCCCAUUUCUUAUGUUUUAUUUUCUCUCUAUGCAAUGUGAGUCCAUCUCACUUCUCAUCAUCCCUUGUUCUAAUAUAUCUACAAUUAAAAAAAACUUCCAAUAAAAAACAACUUCAAAAAAAGGAACAAAAAAAACAAAUGAAUGCAUACACAUAUAUAUAAACACACACAUAAUGAGAAGACUAGGGUGAGUCGUCACAAAAUGAGAAAGAGAAAGAUUACAAAUCAAUAAUCAAGCAAUUAAAAAGCGAAAGGAGAACCAUUACCUUCUGACAAGUAAAACGAAAAGGCUAGGGUGAGCCGUCACAAAAUGAGCUCCAGUGGCGACAAAUCAUUAUCUUUUGACGAGCAAAAGGAGAAGGAUUGGGUGAGUCGCACCUCCUUCAAUCUUAGAAGGAAGAGAAGAUUAUACCUCUCACCAUGAGCCGCAAUGCAGAGAGUGAAUGUUGGCUGAAACAAAGACAAAUUGUAAUCAUAAUUUUGG
rnacentral:lncRNA from 1 species